rnacentral:rRNA from 1 species
UACAGAGGUCUCAAGCGUUGUUCGGAUUCAUUGGGCGUAAAGGGUGCGUAGGUGGCAUGGUAAGUCGGAUGUGAAAUCCCGGGGCUCAACCCCGGAACUGCAUUCGAUACUGCUGAGCUAGAGUACUGGAGAGGAGAUUGGAAUUUACGGUGUAGCAGUGAGAUGCGUAGAUAUCGUAAGGAAGACCAGUGGCGAAGGCGGAUCUCUGGACAGUUACUGACACUGAGGCACGAAGGCCAGGGGAGCAAACGGG